rnacentral:rRNA from 1 species
AACGCUGGCGGCGUGCUUAACACAUGUAAGUCGAGCGGUAAGGCCCUUUCGGGGGUACACGAGCGGCGAACGGGUGAGUAACACGUGGGUGACCUGCCCUCAGCUCUGGGAUAAGCCUGGGAAACCGGGUCUAAUACUGGAUAUGACUCCAUGACGCAUGUUGUGGGGUGGAAAGCCUUGUGCGGCUGAGGAUGGGCCCGCGGCCUAUCAGCUUGUUGGUGGGGUNAUGGCCUACCAAGGCGACGACGGGUAGCCGGCCUGAGAGGGCGACCGGCCACACUGGGACUGAGACACGGCCCAGACUCCUACGGGAGGCAGCAGUGGGGAAUCUUGCGCAAUGGGCGGAAGCCUGACGCAGCGACGCCGCGUGA